rnacentral:misc_RNA from 1 species
UCCGGUUUGUCACCGGCAGUCUCCUUAGAGUGCCCUUGCGUAGCAACUAAGGACAAGGGUUGCGCUCGUUGCGGGACUUAACCCAACAUCUCACGACACGAGCUGACGACAGCCAUGCAGCACCUGUGUGCACGCCACCCGAGGUGAAGGACUCCAUCUCUGGAAUCCAAACGUGCCAUGUCAAGGCCUGGUAAGGUUCUUCGCGUUGCCUCGAAUUAAACCACAUGCUCCACCGCUUGUGCGGGUCCCCGUCAAUUUCUUUGAGUUUUAACCUUGCGGCCGUACUCCCCAGGCGGAAUGUUUAAUGCGUUAGCUACGUCACUGAGAGGGAACCCCCCAACAACUAACAUUCAUCGUUUACGGCGUGGACUAC